rnacentral:lncRNA from 1 species
UGAAGUAUAAAGCUUAAGGAUCACUCUUAAGACGCCUACAAAAUCUUGUAUAUUUUUAAGUGUGCCAAUUUGUAACAUAUUUUGUAAGUGUAUAUUUUUCUUAGAAAAGUGCUGUGAAGUGUCUGUAUGUGAGAGUUUUCCUUUUUCUGCACCACUAUGUGCUAAUAAAAGGAUAUUUACUUCAAAGUUUCUGGUUUUAGAAACCAUAAUACAAAGAAAAAACACUUUUGUUGGGAAUUUUGUAACAGAAAAUAUGUUGUGAAAGAGUGUAGUGAUCUUGUGAAAAGAAAAUGAACAUUUGUGAGCUUCUUGCUGUUUUAUAGAAUUUCUUGUAAAUUAUUCUUGUAACACCUCUGGUUUUGUUGUUCUUGUUGAAAAAAGUUUUAAAUAUUUGUGACUGAAUGUAUGGUGAAACUGUCAUAAUGUUACCUAGCUGAGUUUUGUUAUUGUUUAUGGAAUAAAUAAAAGAAAAGUUUAAAAUACUGCUUUAGAAUCAUAUGUAACAGAGUUAAAAAACAUUUCUAAUUGAAUUUAUAUCUUAAAUAAACAGUUCUUCUGCAGUCUAGAGCAGUGUUUCUCAAACUGUCUCUAGGGAUAGAGCAGUUUUUCUUACAAUCCAUAUCAAAAUGUUAUAAAAAAAUAAAUGAAUUUCUGAAAAAGUAAAAUGAAAAAAAAAUAGGCAAAAUAUAAGCCCAGGUAUAUUUGUAUUUAGAUCAACAUAUAAAGCUAUCAUUCAAAACACCAUAGAGAAAAAGAAAAAAAUUGCCAGAUAUCGGUAUCCUGUUGGAGAACAAAUAUACAAAUCAAUGUCAAGUUGCCAUAGAACUGAAACACACUAACACUUUGAGUAAGACCAACAUCAUUACCAUCGUUUGGGAACUUGGGAAAGCUGAAUGCCAGGCUCUGUGCCAAUUCAGUAAGAUCCCUAAGUGAUUUGUAUACAUGGAAACGUUUGAGAAGCACUGGGCUAGAAUUUUGUGUCCCAAAUUUGGACAUUAUUCUCUAGGUUGUCCCUUCAAAUAACGUUAAAACAAAUGGUAUUCUUCAUUUGCGGUCCAGAUGGCAUCUGCAGAGAAACAUUCCUCUCAACGUGUAAAAACUGUUUGUUGAAAGUAAUAAAUGUUGAUUUGCCUGGUACCCAAAAA